GUAGUCAUGGCCGAGUGGUUAAGGCGAAAGACUAGAAAUCUUUCCGCGUAGCUUCGAAUCCUACUGACUACG